rnacentral:tRNA from 1 species
AUACUCUUUUUUUUUUGAAGAUCGAAGGACUGGAUAA